rnacentral:piRNA from 1 species
UUAUUUGAGAAGAUUUCAUUC